GUUUCCAACUGGACAGAUGACAGAAUUUACGCAAAACACUUAAGGAAGGAGAAGGUCCUAAACUCGAAAAGUGCCGACCAAAGGGACGAAAAAAGCCGGGCUGGGCUGGGGGCAAGUGGGGAGCGGGCAGGCCGCCGACUGGUCAAUAGUUUGCAUCUGUCGGUGCACCAGCACCAACUCUGCGCGGCACCGGCCGGCACGGGCCGGCGCACCGCGUCUCAGCGAGCGCACGCCGGCGCCUAGGGGGCAGACCGCGGGGUGAGCAAGUGGAGGAAGCUGCCCAACCCCAGCGGAAACGGCAAGAGGCCCCGAGACGGCCGGCUGCCAGUGAGGGAGGAAGCCUGCACCCAGACAGCCCACCCGACCCCAUGGGGAGGAGCUGCCAUCGCGCGGGGGCGAGUUUCAGGGCUCGAGACGGCCGGUUCGGGCGAGGGCCGCUGCCCCGCGGCCGUUGGGUCCCCCUCGGACCGACGCUCCUGUCCCUCCUCAGAGCUCUGAGCUCACAGGUUGUGCAACCUGUUCUAGGCCAUGGGAAGGCACUAAAGACUGUAUGCUGCACCCCAAAGAGCUACUGAUCCACAGGGAAGUACCUGGAUGGGCAAGAUACUAAACACUAUUCUGAACACCUUCUGAAUGAAAGCUACUAAGAUCUUCAAGUUCAUGGGGGAAAUUCGACAGUACAACAAUAGGAAAGAGACUGUAGAAGUUGUCCAUUCCAACAUCUUCAUUCUUCACAUAAAAAAUUGAGAUUCCAAAGAUCAAAGUUUUACAGUUCACCCCUCUGACUACAAAGGAGUGUCUGCAGGAGCAGUCAAGUCUUACCCAAGGAGCAUCAUUAACGUCGCAUAUAUUACCCAUUCUCUCUUUUCAAAGAAAAAAUAGUACAGCAGCAGUUUAUAGAUCAAGUCUUGCCCUCAUAUGUGUGCCUGACAUUUUAGAUGCUGAAGAUAUCAAAGAAUGGCUGCUUUCUUAUGUGAAUGAAGGAUAAUGAUGUUCCAAGUGAUCUUGGAAACAGAAUCUGUUUAUCUCAGGUAUUCAUGAAAAUAUCUGGACUUUCCAUUGGUGCUGACGUGUUAACAAAGAAUAAGAGCACAUAUGUCCAAGGGAAAUCAUAAGAAGCCAAGGAGAGUGGAGAAUGAUCAAAAGGUGAUCAGGUGGUACAGAUGUUUCCACCUCAACACCCUCCCUUCGGCAAAGAAUUUCCUGGGCUGGAGUCCUGGCUCUGAUUUUGAACUCAGCUUCCUGCUAAUGCAUAUCCUGGAAGGCAGAGGGCAGCUGAAGUGCUUGUGUUCCUGCAGCCUAAUGGAAGACAUGGAUGGAAUUCCUGGUUCUUGGCUCCUGGCUUUGAUUUGGCUCAGCCCUAAAUAUUGCAGGAAUUUGAAUUGACUUGCUAAUUUCAUUUGGAACCUUAAAACAACAUGAAAGAUCAUAUUCUAUGGCAUAACUACUGCUACAAGGCUCAACUUCGAGGCCACCCAUGUGCUGGUGGGAGAUUUGAAGUCAGGAUUACCCUCGCCAUCUGGAUUUUUUAAGCAAACCUACUUCUCUACCUCAGAUUCAACAGGCAUGAAUUCUGAAAAAAACAAUUCUCUACCCCCUUUUACUGGUUUUCUUUUUCAGAAAUGCCCUUUUCUGAAGAAAAUAAAUGAAGUCAAUGACAGUUAUGACUUAAAUUGACUUUAUUGUAUCCAUCAACUUAUUCUUAGGUUUAUAGUAACACAACAUUUAAUGUGAGUUUAUUGUUUUCUCAGUCUCUUGGUGCUUUUUCAGAGUUAAAUAGUCUACAAGGAGCACUUCAAUUCUGUUCUUGAGUUAAAUUUAGAAUAACUAUCAUUAGUUAGAAAUGCAUUCCUUUUAACUUUAAAAUAGUUUUUUUUUUUUUAAGAACUUAAUCCUUUCUUUUUUAAAAAAUAGCACAUUUAUUCGUUUAUUUGCAAGGCAGAGUUACAGAGAGGCAGAGGGAGGGAGAGAGAGAGGUGGGGGGGGGAGAGAGAGAGGUCUUCCACCUGCUGGCUCACUCCCCAAAUGUCUACAACAGUUGGAGCUAGGCCGAUCCAAAGCCAGGAGUCAGGAGUUUCUUCUGGUCACUCAUGGGGGUUCAGGGGCCCAAGGACUUGCACCAUCUUUUGGCGCUUUCCCAGGCACAUUAGUAGGGAGCUGCAUUGGAGGCAAAGCAGCCAGGACUUGAGCCAGUGCCCAAAUGGGAUGCUGGUACUGUAGGUGGCAGCUUUAUCUGCUAUGCCACAGCACAGCCCUUGUCCUGAUUCUUGAUUGUGUUGAUGCUUACAUGCUUAUACACAUUCGCAAGGGUAACAGAUGCCCCCAGUGAAAACAAGAGGCAGAUGAUUUUCUCUGUUCUCCAUGCCAAUGAUAUUUGUUGGGAGGAAGGGAUAUUUUCUGCAUACAGUCCUCAGUAGGAUGUUCCUGGCCAACGAUUGCUUAGCCCAUGCCACAGCACUGACCCCUAAAAUAGUUUUGCAAGUGAAGUUUUUCACUUUUUAAGUGAAGGAGACAUAGUAUUUGAAACCUAGAACUUUAGAAUUUUAGAGGAAAAAAGAUUGAUGGUGAUAAUUUGUCUUUACAGAACACUAGGAAAGGUUCAGGGGUGAUUUGCCUGCCUUGGAAGGACGGGUGUGUUUGUGUAGGCAGGGCCUCUGGUCUUGUACACCAUGUUACAUGUGUUUGCUGUCAGAGCUUUCAGUUGAUAGUGUUUAUGUGGGAAACUGAUUCGGAAGGGGGCUAGCUGACUUUGGGACCAGUGUCCCCUGUGAUAUCUAAAUUAGCACCGAGGUUUCCUUCUGAACAUGGGGAGCCACCUGCCUCUGAGUACCCCUCUGCUUGCUCUCUAUUGAGGUCCACCUGAUAUACAGGAAGAUUAGCUGGUUUUUAGAUUAUGGAUCCAAGUCUCAUUUUAGGGGCAAUUGAGUGAGAAAUUAGACUUCUGCCAGCUUCAGUUCAGGGAUUAGAGUCAAGUCCCUGGAGGAAGGCUCUGUCAUGAAGUCGCAAUUCUAGUCCCAAAGGAGCAGUGGUUAUGGCACGUCAGUCAAUGAAUGGGGCUAAUCAGCAGCACAUUUAUAGCUAGCAGAAUCUUCCUUUUUAUUGAUGUGUCCCUCAUUGUUUAAUAUAUUGCCUAGCAUAGAGGAGGAAAGCAAUAUUUGAUGAAUGAAUAAAUAAUUUAGAAAAUAACUCAAGAAGAAAAGAAAGAGACCCAAUUGUAUUUUACUGGUGAGUAAUUUUUACUUAGUCUUGGAAAUGAAGCAAAGUCACUGGAGUAGUGAAUAGAUUUAGUUCCAUAAGGAAUCAAACUGGUGUUCCUUCAGUAACUUUCCACCCACUUGCCUUAAGGUCUUUGAAUUUGCUUUUUGUAGAUUCAAUCAUAAUGUGGCAGAAGUAGCACUACCAAGUUUACCAAGACUGCUUCUGGAUAAAAAGGCCAAGGAAGGCAUUUUGGGCUUAUCACAAGAAUCUUCUACCUUGAAGAUGAAAACAGGGGCCUUCCAAAUCACUGAACAAGAACAACUUCCUGCCACCUACAGAAAAUCUUGCUGCCAAGGGCUACAAAUUCAAGAUCAAGGUGUUGACAAGUUUGAUUCUCCUGAGGCCUCUCUCCUCAACUUACAGAUGGCCACCUUCUCACUGUGUCCUCAUGAGGUCUUUCUUCUGUGUGCAGCUGCUCCUGCUGUCUCUCUGUAUGUCCAAAUUUCCUUUGCUUAUAUGAAACCAGUCAGAUUAGAUUAGGACCCAACGUAAUAGGCUCAUUUUAAUUUUAUCACCUCAUUUAAAGAGCCUACCUCCAUUGUCACAUUCUGAGGUAUUGAAGAUCAGCGCUUUGAUGUAUGAAUUUUUAGGGGGCCAUUGUUGUCCAUCUUACAACAACAAUGUAAAUCAAAUGAACAAAUAUGUAUUAUUUAAGGUGUUACCCUGAUAAUUUAAAUAAAAAUGAAGCAGGGUAAAUAAAUGUGUGGAAGGGGGGGCAUCAUGUUUAAGCCAACGACCAGAGAAGGCUUCUAUGCUGAUACAGCGUUCGAACAGAAAAACGAAGAGGAGGAAGCAAGCAUGGAAGCAUCCUGGGAAAAGCGUUUUAGGAAUAGGAGCUGGUGCUCAGUGUAGUAGAAAAAAAGCUGAGAGGGCAGUGUGGCUAUUGCAGGGGCUGUGAAGGGCAGAGAUGAGAUCAGAGGUAAUGAAGUCCAUCAUGGAAGAUAUUAGAAGCCUGCUAGCAAGGGGUGACCAUCUGCUGCAGGGGAUAGAUUACUAAACCCACAAUCAUAGUCCAGCGUGAUCAGUGAUCGCAGGGUUACUCCGGGUGUUGUGGGAAGAACUGGCUAGACAAUUUGUGGAACCCAGUGCACAAUGAAAAUGUGGGGCAUCUUGUUCAGCCUUCAAGAUGGUGACAGCAGGGUGUAAAGCCAAGUUCAGGGCUCCUUUGAUCACGGGGCUCUGUGUAACCACACAGGUCACAUGCUCUGACUGUGGAAAUAUGAGAGAAAUAGCUGGCUUGACAUAGAUGCUUUUUUUCAGAGGUAAAAUGUGUGGUCAGAGGCCAUAUAGUCUUGUGGAAAAUACAUUCCUGGCUGGGGUUUGGAUUUGAAGCUUCCACUUAAGUACCAGUUUUUUUUUUUUUUCUUUGUACCAGUGAGAUCUCAGGAAAGUUAUAUAAGACCUAACGUGUCUCAAAUUUCUCCUUUGUAAAAAAGGUUAAUGGGCCCUGUCUUAUAAAGAUUAAUUUUAGUCUAAUAAUAGUGAAAAUGUUUAGUAAACUAUAGGACUCUGUAAAAGGAUUAUCAUUUAGUAAUAUAUUUAUAUGGUUUCUCCUUGACGUUCUGUUUCAACUUCUCUUUCCCAUAAUUCCUGAACAAAGAAAAGUGUUUUGUGAACUAAUGGUGAUGAUUUACACUGGAAAUAAAGAUUAUUCCUUUCUUUUUUAAUGCAGGAAAUCAGUCUCAUUAUGUGAUACGUUUUAUUAUGGGCAAGAAGCCCAGGCGUCAGAUUGAAUGUUAUGCUUUGUCCCAUGACAUAACUGAGAUUGUAUAUCAAUGGUCUUUAUUCCUCUGCAGUAAUUAUUUGGUAAAAUGAACCAAUUCUAAGCGAGCCUGUGGUCUUGGCCUCAUCCCUCUUGCUUGUUUCCCCUUUGGAUGUCAUUUUUUUGCCUUUCUUGCCCAACUUUCUCCCCCAAGAGCAGCUGUAUUUGUGUGUCUCACCCUGAGAGGGCAGGCAACUGGCUGCUAUCAAAGUCACUCAGUGACCUGGCCAGUGGGGAGCCAUGAAGAGCCAUCUGCUUGCCUCCGCUGCGGAAACUGUCACCUCUGCAGCAGUCUUGUUUCGAGAGCGAUAAUAGAGUUAUUCUUAACUAAGUGUAUUGUGUGUCAAAGACAGGCUGCAGUUUCACGCAGUAAAUAGGAAGGAGGAUAUAACCUGUGCUGGUAAGCCUGCAUACUAAUCCACAUGAAAAUAGUUUUCAAAAUCAAGUGAGAUAUGGCAGCAGGCAUGUCGAGGGCAAACCUCCAUGGACAUAAUCACAAAUAUGCAAAAAUAAAUGACCAGAAUUUUGACUUGUUGGGAUAGAAAUUUCAAAAACCCUCUUUGGAAAGGUUUUAUAAACUGUUUUAACUGGGACCCGUAUUGCGGGUAUUGUGGCACAGCAGGUUAAACAGCCGCUUGUGGUGACAGCACCCCGUAUCAGAGUGCUAGCGUGAGUUGUGGCUGCUCUACUUGAAAUCUAGCUGCUUGCUAAUGUGUCCGGGAAGGCGGCAGUUAGUGAUCCAAGCAUCUGGGACCCUGUUAUUCAUGUGGGAGGUCAGGAUAGAGCUCUUGGAUCCUAACUUCAAUUUGGCCUAGCUCCUGGCUUUCAUAGCAUUUGAAUCAGUGGACAGAAGAUCUUUCUGUUCUCCCACUCCCCUCUCUUUCUCUGUCAUUCUGCCUUUUAAACAAACAAGCAAAUAAAUUUUUCAAAAAAUUGUUUUAACUCUUAGAGUCUCCUUUUGCAGUGUCAUCCCAAUCCCUAUCUAUUGCUAUGUGGGGUAAUAAAGAACAUUGCCCUUUGCUCCAGACAGGUUUGUAUUCUGGUCCUUAGUUCUUUACUUAUUAUCUGAAUUUACAUGGCUGGUCAGAAAUCUCUUGGGAUUGUUCUUCCAUCUUUGGAGACACAUUAUAGGACCACACUCAUGUCAUGAGAUCUUUGUCUUACUUUUGGUCUGAAAGGAGUUUAUUUUGCUUGGAAAGGUAAUUUUUUUUUUUUUAACCUGUGAUAUUAGUCUUUUACCUGCAUCUCUUAGAAUAUUUUAGAAUCCUGAUCACUGAACUAUAAAUUUGUAGAAUCCAGCAGAAAUUUAAUAAAAUUCUUGCUACUUUAAUGGACCUAUUGCUUGAUCUCAAUUGAAAGUAAUAUCAGCAAUAGGUGCCACUAAGUGAACACUGAUGCUCACAAUACUUUGCUUUUCCAGUGGUGCAGAAAUGAAGUUUUUAGUUAGUUAAGUAAGAACACCAGGAAUCAUUGCCACUAUAGUCAGCAGGUUCUGAGAUUAUUCUAAUUUUAAAAUAUCCUAGUUCUUUAUAUAAACAUUGGACACCCAUUCUGGAAAUACUAGGGUAAAAGCUAAAUAAUCACUACAACAUAAUGGUUGGAGACAGUUGUCCUCAGCACAGAGCUGUGCUCUGAUUUACCACUGCUUUCCUCAACUGGUACUGGGAUGUUUUCAACUGGAAGCAUCGAUUCCACACUGAAGUGGAGCACCCAGUAGUUUCAUGCAUAUAAUGAGCUCCAUCUUUAAUUUUCUAAAGAACAAGGUUCUAGAAAAUUUCUGCAGAAGUUUUCAAGGAGUUAUCUUACUUUCUAGUAUUAUGUGGCAUUUAUAUUCUUAGAGGCCUGCUGUGACUCUGGAGAGAAAUCUCCUGAGUCAGAGAAUCAGGCUUUUCUUUGAAUAAGCUUAUCGAUAAAAUGACUGCAAAAUAAGUUUCCUUUCAUAGUUUUGAAAUGACAGCAACAUUCCAUUUUUUACAAACAUGUCUGUUUUGUUAAAAACAAAGUUAAAAAAAGGUUUUAUGGGCUUUCAAGAUAUUUUUAAAAUUUUUAUUUACUAAUAAAAAGCCAAAGUUGGAACACCAAUGUUUGAUCUCCUAUCUUUACUUAUGAGUAUUUUCUCUGGAAAAUUAAUAUGAUGGACAAAUUUAUCUUUCUUCCUCCUGGAACAUCCUUUUUCCUUGGUUUAAUCUAACCAUAAACAAACUACAAGACGUAUUAAUUCUUAUUUCUCAGCAUCAAAGAUACAACACAAAAAAUAAUCCAGAAGUUUUCAAAUCAAAUUUUGCUUUGCAAUCUUAGUAGGAAUAUUGAAGUCUAGAUUGCAAGGUUCUCAUCCUUUUAAAUGUCCUAAAGGAUUAUUUAUAUAUUUUUGUUCAUUACAAUUGGAAGAAAGUGAAGAAAAAUUCCUCAGUCAACAAAGAGCUCUUAGAAAAUCAGAUAUUAUUACUGUAGCAUUUUCAGAAACUUAGUCAUAUAGUAACAAUAAUUGAAACUAUGUAUAAUUUCAGAAUUUAAGGCAAACAUUAUAAAAAGUAUUUUGAUAGUGCUUUCAGUUAAAUCUUUUCAUUUAGAAGGUAAAUAUUGAAUAAGAUGCAUUAUUAAAAACUGAUUUUUCACUUUUGGUACAAUAUUUUUAAAAGAUUUAUUACCACUAUAUUACCCAAAAAGUAAUCAAUUCUUAAGAAAGUAACAGAUUUUGAUAGAAUCCUCUCUCUCUCUCUCUCUCUCUUUUUUUUUUUUGAAAGAUUUGUUUAUUUAUUUGAAAGAGUUACAGAGAGGGAGAGACAGAGAGAGAGGUCUUCCAACUGCUGAUUUGUUCUCCAGAUGGCUGCAAUGGCCAGGGCUGAGCCAGGCUGAAGCCUGGAGCUUCAUCCAGGUCUCCCAUGUGGGUGACGGGGCCCAAACACUCAGGCCAUCUUCUACUGUUUUUCCCAGGCCAUUAUCAGGGAGUUGGAGUGGAAGUGGAAUAGCUGGGACAUGAACUGGCACCAAUAUGGGUUACUGGUUUCACAGGUGGUGGCUUUACCUGCUUCGCCACAAUGCCGGCCCAGUUACUCUUCUCUUAAGAUUGAACAUCAAUAUGAUUAAACCAAAAUCUUUGUGAAUGUGUUCUAUGAACAAAGACCUUUUGGCCACCCUUAAAAAUGAUUAUAAAUCAAUUCUAAAUUUAAAGGCUUCUCCAAAUUCAAACUCUAGAUGGAUUGAGUGGCAGAGAAUUGGAAGUGGAUUCCUUGAUUUCUAGUCUUUUCCUUGUCUGCUCUACUUUGUUAUAUCACAUUCCUAAUUCUCCUCAAAGCUUAGAGAAGCCAAAAUAAAUGGUGUGGUUUAGGAAGGGAACAUAAUAUUUCACAUGAAUCCCAUAGCAUGGAUCCAAGAGUUAAAGGCCAGUUUCCAUUUAAAAUCACUUUAGCUCUCCCCUUCCCCCUGCCCAAAAGAAAGGGUUAAUUUGAGAGAGGCAGGACCUUGCACAGGAGAUACCUUUGUCUGGAUUUGCUAGUCACGACACAUUGGUCUGGAUUUAGUCAUUUAUUUGUCACUGGGUGAUCUGCUUGGGGUGGUUGCUACCCUUGUGGAAAUGCUGAUGUUCUUGACUGGCACCAAAGAUUUCUCUGUACAAGGUCACUCUAUUAGUAGCAGCCUGUGGUGGCCACACUAAUUUUUUGAACUUUUCUUUCCUAAUUUUGGAUUUUGGAACAUUGUUCUAGGUACUGUACUUGCUUCCCAGAUACCUGUCUCCCUGCCUGGGUGUUUGCAUCUUCAUUAAUAAUAUUUAUAUGUUUUAGUCCACCAUUUUCCCUUAAACUCUGAUGCAGUUGUGAUUUUUUUCAUACAUUAUUCUUCAUAUAGAGCUUUCCUUCUUGAGCAUCCAGAUUCUACCUAACUAAUAACUACGAGGAAGGGUACUGUUCUGGUCUCUGUUGCAAGCUCCAGCUCUCACCAUAGAUUCCUUACCUUAUUUCUGAUAUUCUCAGUGGGGGACUUCAGGGAGUUCACAGAAGGGGGCCUGUGCUGUGUUGUAGCGGGUACACCUAUGGCAUCGCCAGCCCAUUUGGGUGCUGGUUCCAAUUCCAGCUGCUCUGCUUCUGAUCCAGCUCCAUGAUAACGACCUGGGAAAGCAGUGGAAUUUGGCCCAUGUGCUUGGGCCCCUGCACCCGAGUGGGAGACCCAGAAGAAGCACCUGGAUCCUGGCUUUGGGUUGGCCUACCUCCAGCCAUUGUGGCCAUUUGAGGAGUGAACCAGCGGAUGGAAGACCUCUGUCUCUGUUUCUUCCUCUCAAAUAAAUAAAUAAAUAAUAAAUCUUUUUAAAAAAGAUAGUUUAUAGAAAAUAUUAUUAUAGAAAAAUAUGCAUGGAUCCCCCCAUUUCUGCAGCAAAAUAAACUUGCCUUUUCAUUCCAUUUUCUAUAAAAGUUUUAAAGUUCUCCAAUACUUGGUUCCCAGAGUUACAGACCAAAUAUUUACAAAAACCUAUAGAGAGGGCUUCUAGAUUCCGUAGCAGCGCUGCGCUCCUUCUUAUCCAGAAGCCCUGAACAAAUAUUUCUUUAUCUUGUAGCUGGUUCAAGUCUGAUUGUCAACACAAUGAUAUUAAUAUAUAAAAAAUGAAAAGUCCUGAAGGGGACAUGUUGGAGUUGAGUGCCAGGGUCUUUUAUUUUAUCUUUGCUAAUUAAUACAACUUUGGUCCAGACAUGGUGGGUGUUAAUUGCUCUACAUCUGAGAAAAUGUUUAUAAAUCUCUGAAAAAAAGUUUUAUAAUUGUGUGUAGUAUUAAUAUUGCUGUGUGAAAACAGGUGCCAACCAAAAAAGCCUGUGUUGAAGGAAAGCUUCAUAGUUGAGUUAUGAGACAGCUGGGGAGCAGCAAAAUAGAUAUGGAUCCAUAAACCCCGCAGGAAAAACAACUUUAAUCAGGGCCUGACACGUCUGGUGAUUGUAACGAAGUCUCUUGGUAUGUGUAAGCCCUGGAUCAAAUGGGACCAAUUGGCUAUUGACAAGCGUUACAUUAGUGCAAAACUGGAUGAAAAACUGACUAUUGCCCUGUGCAGACUCCAAUAAUGAGAAAUGAGCUUCUUGUAAGAGAAAGAGACUUGGUUUGUUUUUUAAAAGCAACCUGUAUGCAUUGGCUCAGUGAUACCUCUGGUGGACUGAAAUACCUUUAGGCUCAGCCUUCAGACACUACAGUGGCAUUUAUUGCUGUCUUUUCCAAACCUCUCCAGGUGACAGGCCUCUUUGACUCUUUAAAUUGAUUCCAUGGUUCUGAGUACCAGUAGCUGAAGCUGGCAGCCUGACCCCAGAGCAGGGAGCGUUGUCUCCCCUUGAGAGCCCCUCAAAUGGAUUUUACAAGGGAGUGGUGCAUAGUGUGCUUCUAGGAGCACUGAACCAUGUUCCUAGCACUUUUCACAGAUCAUAAAUUAAUUUGAAAUGAACUUCUCUCCUCCCACAAAACAUAAUACCAGAGAAGGACUGUCAUCAUGAUUUUCUGUGGCAUAGUGCCUGAGGGGGGAAAAGUCAUUUUCUCCUGCAUUUGUUGACUGGACACGUGAUGAGGGCCAAAUGCAAGACUGCCAUAAAUGCGUAGCAUGUGUGUCCAAUUCAAAAUAAUUUGCAGUUGGGAGUAGAUUCUCCACACCUUCAGCCUUGAACCUGAAAGAGUGGAAAGAGCUAUACAUAUUCCAUUCUGAAGAUAGGUGUUAUUUAAACUUAGAAACUGAUGUGUCAGGGACCGCAGAUGCCCUGUCUUCACUGUUUCUGUACUGCAAAUGUAAGUGAUUAUUCUUGAUAGUUAUCUGGAAAAGAUAAGAAGUGGCAAGUAGGACAUGCAGUGCCAUUUCACAAUUAUGUGUGGGCACUUGGUAAACAACAAAAUAAUGCAAUAUCCUCUUUAGUAAUGCUGCAAGGUGAGAAGCAUGAAAUCAAUUUUGUUAUCAGACCUUAAAAUUCAGAGUGUUUUUUUUUUUUUUUUUAACUUGUGUGCAGCACCUGCUCUCUUAUAUGUGGCAACAAUUUUCUAAGUUGAUUAUAUUAAACUUCAUGGAUAUCAUUAGUUUAGUUUUCUCAUGCCUUGAAAUACAGUAGGUGCUAUAGAAAAACAUUUGAUUAAUUGUAUUAAUUGUAAUAUGAUUGAAACUGAUGGUUUGUCAGAGUAUAGGAAAUAUUGAGGUAGAAGAGAAGGGAACAGGACACUUUUUCAAAAAGUACCCAAGAAAGUUAAUACAAAGUACCUCUCCAGUGACCUUCUUUUCUCCUGGUCUCUAAAACUGCACAUCUACUUUUCCAUCGACUACACUUCUAUCUUCCAUAGGUAUUUCAAAUUCAAUGUCCAAAUGGAAUUAUUUUUUAUCCAAGUAUGUUUAUCCUCAUAUAUUCUCUCUCUCUUUUUUUAAGAUUUACUUUUUUUUUUUUAAAAGGCAGAAUUAGAGAGAGGGAGAGAUAAAUAUUCUGUCUGCUGGUUCACUUUGCAAAAGGCUGCAAUGGCUGAGGCUGGUCCAGGCUAAAGCCAGUACCCUGGAAUUCCAUUUGGGUCUCUUGUGUGUGGCAGAGUCCCAGGUACUUGGGCCAUCUUUUACUGCUUUCCCAACCACACUAGCAAGGAGCUGGAUAGGAACUGGAGCAACCAGGACUUGAAUUGGCACUCAAAGGGGAAGCCACCUUUGCAAGCAGUGACUUAACCCACUGGGGCUCAGCAGCAACCCCACAGUCCUGCCUUGAGGAAAGUGCGGCACCAGCGUUCUCAUUCCACCACAGACAGAGACUUGGGUUUCACCCCUCAUUAGUUUACCAGUGUCUCCCCUAACACCUUGGAAUCUAUUUCCAAAGCUUUUUACCAUUUAUAGCCAUGUCUGCUGCUUUAGCAGCUCUUGCUUGGAUUCCUAGCUGAAUGGACUCCAUUAUUCUACCACCCUCCCCACCCCUACUUUAAUUUAACCUGCACCCUGCAGCCAUAGUUUUCAAAAUGCAAAUGUGAUUAUAUCACUUUCUUGAUUCAAAUUGUUUGAUGAUCCUUUGGCCACAGGAUAAAUUUAGCAUCCCCAAUUUUUCAUGUUUAGCGAGGCUUGCCUCUAGUUCUGGUUCCUAAUGCUAUACUCUGGAGUCCAUUUGAUGUGGGCAGGGAGGAGCUGAAGCUCGCCUUCUGAGGCUUGCCAUCCUGGGGCCAGACUUCGUGGGCAGCCUUAGCCAUCCUGCCAAACCCCAUCUUGCCAAGCUCAUGCUGCCAAACCCUGUUUCUAUGCUUCACCCAAACCUCCUUUCCAUGUACUGUCCAAAUACCCCUGCUUCCCAUGUAGCAGAAAAACUAUAAAUUCCAUGACUUUGUGACUUAGGGCUAGCACCAGCUAGAGAUAUCCAAAAUGGCUGCCUGGUGCCUCUCUGCAGUGAUCUUUAGUUCAUUAUAAUGCUAUUAUAAUAAAAUCACCAAAGCUGAUGCACCUGCUCCCUUCACACACCUGAUACCAUGACCUUUCCAAAAACGGGCCAGGAAAUGGACAGCCAUAAAUCCCUUCUCCAAACUCCACCUCUUUAGAUAUCCAGUUAAUCCCCACCCCUGACAGCACCCCCAUUGCCUCCAGAUAGUAUUAAAGGACAGCCCCAAACCUUGCUGAUUGCAGCUGUCUCCCCUGAGUCUGCCUGCACUCCUUCCUGUGCACGUACUUUUGCCUCAAAUGAAUCUUGCUUCUCUACUCGCCCUCACCUGCAUUUCUUCCCUGGAUUUCUUCUUGCAUAGAGAAAAAAACCUGGAUCACUUCUACCCAGGGGCCCUCCCUACAACACAUUCGCUAUAUGAAAAACAGUUUUCAAUAACUAUAAUUCUUGUUUCGUACUUUCCCAUCUUUGGCUAUGCUAGGAACAAACAUCUGUGUUUGGUAUCUGGUUGGGAAUUACUUGUCCAGUUCAUGUUUCUUCAGCUGGGAAGCUCCACCAGCCAUCUUGGUUUGAGUUCAGCCUUUUCUCUAACCCUUCUAGUAUCGUGUGUGUGUUGCUAAUGUUGUAUGUAUCCACCUUAAUUUAGUUGUUGUUUACAACUAAAUAGUACUGUUUAUAUAUUUGAGUUUCCAGUGAAGCAUGGUUAAUGGUGCAUGCUGGAUGUUCAGUGCAUACUUCUUGAAUAAAUUUGUGAACACAAUGAUAAACCAAAACAGAAUGGGAUGAUAAAUGAGGAGCAGCCAGUUUUGAGAGAAGACCUCUAUUUUUAAGGGGGGAAUUUUGGCAAUAUUUAGGCUUAAGAGCUGAAAGAGGAUUUGGCUUUAAUUUAGGUUUGAUUUGCACCUUUGUGGCAUAUUGAUCUAGAAGGAGCUAUGGGCAAGUAGAGGCUGUUGUACAGGUGUGUAGAAAAACUAACAUUCAUGAAAAGCUGAAGAGAGAUUUUAUUUUGUUCUGUCAGCCUUUGAUGCACUGACAAACUUAAAUACUUCUUUUUCUACCUUCCUCCUUCUCUCCCAUUUUGUCAAGCUUCUUUCAUAAUUGAUAUAAAAGUAUAUGUAUUAAAGUGCAUAUAUUUUAUUAUUCACAUAUUUUAUAAAUAUAUCAUAAUUGUGAGUAUAUAUCUUUGUGCACCUGUUAGCAUGUAUCUAUAUCAUUUUUGUAUGUCACUAAAAUGUUUUUAAUAUAAUUACUUUUAAAUGAUUUUUUAAAAAAAUAUUUACUUAUUUAUUUUGAAAGUCAGAGUUAUGUAGAGGGAUAGAGAGAUCUUCCAUCUACUGGUUGACUCUCCAGAUGACUGCAAAAGGCUGGUGCUGGGCCAGGCCGGAGCCAGGAGCCAGGAGCCCCAUCUGAGUCUCCCACAUGGGUGACAAGGGCCAAAACAUGUGGGUCAUUUUCUGCUGCUUUCCCCAGGCCAUUAGCUGGGAGCUGGAUUGGGAGUGGAGCAGCUGGAACUUGAACUGGCACCCAUUUGGGAUGCUGGCUCACAGGUGGCAGCUUUACCUGCUGUGCCACCAUGCGAGCUCCAGUGAUCGUUAUUUUUAUGUUUUUGUUAGUAAUGGUAAGAAAAAAAGAGUUUGGGGCUGGGAAGAGAGACAGGAAGUCAAAUAAUGGCAAGGCCAGAAUAUAUAUUUUGAAAUCCAGUCUUUGGAGGAGAGCAAUUAAAAAGGCAUCACUCAUGGGGCUGUGGAACUUUACUGCAAUCAAGGUAGGAGCAAUGGAAGCAAGACUAACGGAGCUGGAGUGAGUGGUACACUGGGUCCCAUGUGCUCAGCUGUGAGGUGCCAUGGAGAGAGCUAAUGCUGAUUUCCUCUGGGCACACAGAGGGAAACGUCUUUUUUUUGGCAAUACCAAAUGAACUAAAAAUGUAGGAGUUACCCAAAGCUUUUUCUGUCUCAGUCAUCCACUGCAGCUGUGUUGGAACUCUAGCUCGUUAGGCAUCCACAUUAGCCCACUUCCUGGGCUCCCUUCUAAACUGGAGAGAAUGUGCUGAGGGAAGAAAAUGCAUCUGAUGCUUUCUGCCAUGCAGGGUUCAUGACCAGUAGGCUGACACUGCUAGGGAUUUGAAGUGAAGUGAUGAAUAGAUUAUCAUUUGUUGGGUACUUCUGACUUUGGUGUAUAUAGUUACAAUAUUUUCUAGAUGUGAUUAAAAAGCAAAGUGUUGGGGGGCCAGUGCUGUGUUGCAGUAGGUUAAACUGCCACCUGCAGCACUGUCAUCCAAUAUGGUCUCUGGUUCAAGUCCCAGCUGAUUCACUUCUGAUCUAGCUCUCUCCUAAUGGCCUGGGAGAGUAGCAGAAGAUGGCCCAAGUGUUUGGGCCCCUGCACCCACUUGGGAGACCCAGAUGAAGCUCCUGACUCCUGGAUUUGGCCUAGCCCAUUCCUGGCGGUUAUGGCCAUUUGGAGAGUGAGCCAGCAGAUGGAAGGUUGGCGUCUCUGUCUGUCUCUCUCUCUCUGUAAUUCUGCCUUUCAAAUCAGUCAGUCAGUCAGUCAAUCAAUCUUAAAAAAAGUUCAAUGUGUGUGUUCCAGGAAGGAAAAGAAGCAUCCAGUUACUUCAUGCCGGCACUUUAAUUUUCUCCUUCUACCAGCACUCUAGUAUGAGUUUGUCACCCUGAUAUUCCCCUAGGAGAAGCUGGACUUCACAGUCAGUGGUAGAGCUGGGCGCAAUCCGGGCUGGCUGAAUGGAUCCAGUUUUCAUUCUAUUCUCCACACUGCCUUACUUGCCGUCACGUCUUGGCUGGCAGCAGGAGAGUCAAACCUGACAGGGAACUGUGAAAAGCCUGAAGUUUCCAGCCUGCUAGGCGAGCGGCGGUGGCACAGAGGCGAGUCACUGUGAGCUCUGUCAUUUAUUUCUGUCUACUUUAAAUCUCUUAUCUGGAGGGAGAAAAGCAUUUACAAAGCUUUCAGAAAAAUGCUUUGUGAUUACCAGCACUAGGCGAGCAAUGGCUUGCCUGUUUUCCACAGAUAGCUGCAAAAUAUGUCUUUUAGGGAGAAUUAUCUGCUUUCUUCCACUUAGAUUCAUAUACAAACAUACCGACAAAGAAAUACGUCUCAGAAAUCCCAUAGUCCUAGGUGUGAGCAGAUACUUUCUAGUCCAGGUUGCAUUGAAUCAGAUGAAAACAAACCAAUAAACAAACAGACAAGCAAGCACUGAAAAACAAAAAGGUAAAGUAAUUACUCAGUUGUUAAAGAAACAAGCUUCCCGGUCUACCCUUAGUAACAACUUCCUGCUCUUUGGUAAUUCCUGUUAAGUCUAGGAAGCUCAAGGUGUAAUUUCCGUAGCAUGAAAUAUCAGGUGUUCCUUAACAAUGUGCCAAAUAUUUUUUAAAUCCUUGAGAAAAAAAUAAGGGAAAGGAUAUUAGCUUUUUUGUAACAUAGAACAUGCCCAGCAUUCUGCAAUGGAUACAUAUUUCAAAACCUUGUGUCAUGAUAAAUAUAUGCCAUUUCUAUUCAUCCAUUAAAAUAAAUGAAAACCAAAUACACACACACACACACACACACACAGACAAGUAUACCCAGAUCUUCUUGGUAGGAUAUACUUGGGUAAUAUUUUUAUCUUUGAAGAGAGUGUGAGGAUGUUAGAAUUAGCAUCUUCCUUGGCUUGAUGAGAACUUCAUCUUCAUUGUCCUUUGCACUUUCUCCAUGCAGACUUCCGCUAUGGGAGUAAUUCUUAACAAAUUGAGCAGUUGACCUUCUACAAGCUGGCCUCUCUUGCAUGAUUAGAUUUAGUAUGGCACGAGGACGUGAUGAUUCAGGAAGCUCCAGGCAUUUAGACCCCCUGGCUCUAAUAUACCGUUUCAAGGAUACACCCCCAAAUCCUUGCAGUAUCUGCUGGUUAGACCAAGGGAACCUCCAGGCUUGCAGCUGCUCUGUUUCCAUUCCUCUUGCUUGAGCUUGUGGAAUCAGGAAUUCCCAUGGGAGAAAGUUUUGAGUCCCUGAUAAAGGGCCAGUUGUACAUUUCCACUCAACAUAACCUUUAUAGGGUAGAGAAUCUAUUACUUUGAGUAUUUUUUCCCAUUAAAAUCCUACUGAUUAUAUUUGAAAUAUCUCUUCCUUGAAUGAUACCUCACCCUGGCUGGAAAAAGGCUUUAAUAAGCCAGGCAUGGCAGGAAGACUGCUUUGCUCCACUUUGCUUUGCUGUUGAAACAUUAAGCAUAAUCUGAUGUGUCAAUAGAGUCACCUCAGGUACUCAGAAUCAUUUUACUUCCUCUUACAGUCAAAACAUAGUGUUAACACUGACACGAAUUGGUAUUAAAAAUAUAUGGGGAAUCACCUGGAGAACAGCACUUUUUACUGAUAGCAGGUCUUUUUAAAAGCAGUAUCUGUCAAAGAUUCAAUUUGAACUUUUUUUUUUUGCUUUGAAUUUUACAGAGCAGACUUUCACUUUUUAAAAUCUGACCUGCUUUACAUCAUUCAAACCUAUCAGUGAUGGGGAGAAACUUUUUCUUUUUAUGUGACCCUCUGGGAGGUGUUGCACAUUUCCAAUGUAUGCCCUGAAAGGAUGUGCAAAAUGACACAGAGUGGAUGACAUCACUCAUUGCUGAUAAUUAAACAUUUCCCUGGGAUUUACAAUAUAGGCUCAAAAGAAAAUGGAAAGAAGGAGAUGAGGAUGGGAGCAUUCUUAGGCAUUCUAUCUGGGUGCAUACUUUAUAUCACUCUAGAAAUAUUUCCAUUUAGGUGGAGUAUGAAUGUACCAAAUAAAAGAACAUGAAUAUAAGAACCUUAAAUUUUAGUUCUGAGUGAAUAUAAACAAAAAUGUACAUACUUGUCAUAUUUCAUGUGCAUUAUAAUAUAUAACAAGUAUGCCAUAUGAAAUACAUUUGUUAUAUUUUUAUUAUGUUUAAUAUAAAUUAAAUCUAUAUGAAAAUUGUAUUAUAGUAUAUGCAGUGUUCUAGAAAAUUGAGCAGAUUGAAAAACUAAGAAAGAUGCAUUUUUUUGAUGUGUUAAUUCUUUGUUGAGUGCCAUAUAGAGCUUACUGGAGUGGCUUUUGUAAAUAUAUUGGAAUGCUCUGUUUCAACAGGUGAAGUGAUCCUCAAGUAUUACUUAGCAGAUAAUUCAUUUAUUAAAAUAGAAGACCCAUCAAAUGUAAUAUGUUGACAUGUGGCACACAAAGGUGUUUGUUUUAUUUGCUUGCUUUGGGGAGUCUUUGUGAAAUAAAUGACCCAUUGAGCUGAAAAGUGAAUAUCAUUGCAAUUCAGGCUCUGAGAGCAAUAGACUCUAUUGAUAGUAAUGACCAGAUUUUCUUUGUUGUUUGAAAUCUAAGAGUUUCUCCUUUUUUCAUUCUGUUGCUAUACAGAUAUUUCAUAUGUGUAUAUGUGUGUUUGAGUAUGUGUGUGUGUCUGUGCUUGUGCAUGAGUGUGUGCGAGUGCAUGCGUAGCCACAAAUCACUCAGCUGACCUUUUUUGUAAUCAACUACAGUAAGUUCAGUGUAUCUAUAUGUGUGUGUCCCCGCACUUCUGGUGUGAUGGACAGUUUGCUUAAAUAUAUGGGAGAAGUUAAUCCCAUUGCCCCUGACCUUUGGCACAGGAACCUGGUGCUUCCAGUAGAAAGUGUGGUAAAUGCCAAGUCCUUUGGGCAGAGGAUGUUUGCAUUAAUGUUUUCUAUGCCAGAGCCUGAGCCAUAGAUUUUCUGUCAGCCAAUCUUUGCACUGCUGAUAUGGAAUAGGUUGAACUGUGUAUAGAAUAUAGUUCCUGAUGCCAUCUGCUUUGACACCCUGAAUAUUUUAACCUCAGCCAGUAUAUUAAAAGAGAGAGCCUCCCACUCUCUAUCAUGCAUGUGAUUACCAUGUAGUAUGGGAGGUGAACAAAAUCAUGCAGUUUAAUGUGAUUGUCAAAGGGUCAGUUGUCAUGUUAAUUAUCAAGAGCUGAGUGAUCACAAUAUGACAUCACAGGGAGGAGGAUGAGGUAUAGUUCCUACCAAGCUUGUAAAUUCAGUUAACUCCUGAUAUUCCUGGAAACCUACAGCUGUGACUUCCUAGCACUACACAGGGCUGGAUGCAGCUCUGCAGAUACUAAUUUCUGGAAGGCUUCACCACCAUGAAGAAUUUGGAUUACAGGGAAUGCUUGUUUCAAAGAGGAUGAGGCAGCUUAGGAGGAAAGACCCUCCCUUAGGAGGUGAUGGAAUGGAACCUGAUUUGGUGUCUGUAUUUAGCAAUGUAACAAAUCAUCCUUGAUUCUUCUGUCCUACAUUGCAACCUCUGAACAGACACCAGUACCAUGGGUUCUAACCCUUAGACAUCCCCAGGAUCUAUUGUUUUCUCUCUGAAUUUUUUUAAUGCUUUAGGGCCUUCUCAUUUCUUGCCUAGAGUUUUUGCCAGAUGGCUGGAAGAAGCUUCCUCUUCAAGCCAUUCUUCAGUGUGACUUUUUAAAGAAGCGCAUGUCCUUCCGAACUAAAUGUUAUUCUCAGAUGCAAUGAGCUCUGUUCUGCAUACUGCUCUCUGUACAUUUCCUACAUUGGUGGCUCUGAGUCAUACUUUAAGUCCCAUGAUACAUAUCACCUCCUUCCAGGAAGUCUUCACCAGUUCAAGAGUUCUUCUUUGAGCUCUUUUGGUGCCACGUGAUUGUUUGGAUCAUAGUUCUUUUCUUGAUUUUUUUAUGGCUCUCUCUUGACAACUUGCUUCGUAACUCUUCCAGAAUGGAAGCUCCUUAUGAUAAGGCACCAUUGUAUUUUGUUUUAUAUUCCAGAAGCUGAGGCACUGAGUAGGUACAAAAUAAGACAGUUUUUUAAUGCAGCACUUUUAUUGCUCUGUACAUUACUGUUGUUGUGGCCAAAUGUUCUCCCAUCACAUUAGAAAGCCCAAAUUUCAGGCUUGGCAUUGUGAUGCAGUGGGUUAAGUUGCUGCUUGGGAUGUCCUAAUCCCAUAUCAGAGUCUGAUUUGAAUCCAGGCACCUUCUUUUUCUUUUUUUUUUAUUUUUUAGACAGGCAGAGUGGACAGUGAGAGAGAGAGACAGAGAGAAAGGUCUUCCUUUGCCGUUGGUUCACCCUCCAAUGGCCGCCACGGCUGGCACACCGCGCUGAUCCGAAGGCAGGAGCCAGGUGCUUCUCCUGGUCUCCCAUGGGGUGCAGGGCCCAAGCACUUGGGCCAUCCUCCACUGCACUCCCUGGCCACAGCAGAGAGCUGGCCUGGAAGAGGGACAACUGGGACGGAAUCUGGAAAUCUGGAGCCCCGACCGGGACUAGAACCUGGUGUGCCGGCGCCGCAAGGCGGAGGAUUAGCCUAGUGAGCCGCGGCGCCGGCCGCAGGCACCUUCUUUUUCAGUUCAGCUUCCCACUACUGCACACCCUGGAGGCAGCAGGUAGAUGACCCAAAUUCUUGGCUGUUUCAGUAUUUGGAGGGUUAACCUACAGAUGGAAGAAUCUCUCUCUCUCUCUCUCAAAUAAAUAAACAUUAAAAGAAUCAAAAAACUGAUGUGAUCUCUUAGAGAAUUUGUAAUUGUAUACAAAAACUUUACAUAAAUUAAAAGGAUGAAUAAACUUUUAAGUGUAAAGGUGCAAAGGUAACGUGUCCAGCUCGAGGCUGGUACAGCCUACUGUGUAUAACCGGAAAACCAGGUAAAAAGGGAAACUGGGUCUCAAAGUGCAGACCUCCCCCACUGUUAAGACCGGUAAGAUGAAAAUGACAACUGAUUCAGACACAGAGGCUCUGAGAAAUCCUGGAAUGUUAGCUAUGACACAUUAAUGCUUUGUGCAGAUUGAGAGACUGGUCAUGCAGAUACACCAGGGCAAAUCUGGAUGUCUUGUCUGUAAGCAUGUUCUCACUUCAGCCACAAAGUGACCAAGCCACAUGGACUAUGGUUUAAAUCAAAGUGGGUAUUAAUCAUAUGCCAAGGGAACAGUUAACUUGAAUAUGAGAUCAAAAAUCAGCAACAAGUUCUACAAUCAGGUGCCAACACCAGACACAAGCGUCAAGGACAAAAUUAUUUUCAAAGGCUUAUUCAGUUUUAUGAAGCUAGCAUGAGGUAUAGUUAUUUGCCAGGGACAUUAUCUACUUGUGAAAUGAUACAUGUAGCAAAUGCUGCACUGCUCACAGUGCCUUUUGAAGCAUUGGCAUUGGGUAAUGGAGGCACUGACUCAUCAUACUUGAGCUUGCUAAUCCACAUCUGAAGAUGGACAAGAAAGUCAGGAUGGAGCUGCCCAUCACACGGCUCAGGAGGUACAAUGAUUUUGAUCUUCAUGGUGCUGGGCAUCAGCGUGAUGACCCCCUUCUGAAUGUUGUCAGCAUUGCCCCAACAAGUGGUGGUGCUAAUGGACAGCACUAUAUUGGCAUAAAGGUCCUUGUGGAUGUUGGUGUCACACUUCAGGUGGAAGUUCAAGGUGGCCUGCUGUAUGAUGCAGGGCUCCACGCCCAGGAAGUAGGGCUGGAGGAGCACCUCCAGACACCAGAACCACUCCAUGACAAUGAUCACAUGACCAUGGCACAACUUACUGCUUUUCUCCUGUGAGUCCGAGGCAAUGCAACAUGUCCUUUAUGUCCUGCAUGAUCUCUGUAGCCACGCUCCCUAAGCAUCUUCAUGAGGUAUUCAGGACCUGUGCAAAUGAAGUGGAGACACAAGAUGGCUGGGGGAAAGCAUAGUCCUUAUAGAUGUGCACCCUAUCUCUAGAGUCAGUCAUGACUCCAGAGGCAUGGUGGGAGAGCUUGGCUCAGAAGGCCAUGUGCAUGGCUGGGGUGUUGAAGGUCCUGAACAUGAUCUGGGUCAUUUCUCUGCUUAUCUUGGGGUUCUGGGAUUCUGGGAAGCAUGAGGGAUGCUUCUCAGGGACCUCUUGCAGCUCAGUGUAGAAGAUUUGGUGCCAGAUUUUCUCCAUGGCGUCCCAAUUAGUGAUGAUGCCAUGCCCAGUGGGAGUACUUCAGGGUCAGGAUGCCUUGCUUGCUCUGGGUCCUCAUGUCCACAAAGAAGUCCUUCUGACCCAGGCCCACCAUGGCUUCUGAUUGGCUCAGCUCCAGCCAUUGCAGCCAUUUGGGAGUGAACCAGUGGAUGGAAGACCUCUCUUUCUGUCUCUACCUCUUGCAGUGACUCUGUGUUUCAAAUAUAUAAAUCUUAAAAGAACAUGAAUUUAUAGAGUAGAAUAACAUGCCAGGUAAUAGUCCUGAUAGAAUGGCAGUGAAAGAUAGCAGUGUUCAUUUAGGAAGUGAUUGGUGACUGAUAUAGUUCUGGAGCGUUUGUUUAUUAGAACCUAUGUACCAGAUGUUAUAGCAUUGAGAGGUGAAGCCUUUGGGGAAAAUGACCAAGUUAUUGUGCUCUGCUUUCAUGAAUGGAAUUAGUGUUCUUGUAGGAGCAAUGUCAUUUAGUUGCACUCCCCCCUCAUUAGGGACCAUUUUGAAGCAGAGAGAACCCACACUCGUCAGACACCCAGUCUGCCAGUGUUUUAUCAAGAAGACUUGUUCCCCAGAACCAUGACAAAUGAAUUUCUAUUAUUUAUUACAUAUAUUGCAUGACUAUAUUUAUAUUAUAACUUAAGCUUUCUUUUAAUUGCCCUGUAAAGUUUUUUUUUUUUUUAAUAGCCCAAACAGACUUAAACAAUGACAUGCAUUUAUUUGUAUAGUUCUUUCUGGAAACUCUCAGCCCUCACCUCAGCCAUCUUGACAUGAUUACUCUAAAAAUCACCUUGGGAAAAAUCACCAAAAUCUUUGCUUGCCACUCUCUUGAUGCAGUGAUAAUCCUUGUUAAAAGAGGGAGGCCCUUCUGAGUUCUUCUGGUUUCCAAAGGAGGAGUUUCUUCUAGAUAUUCCUGGGCCUUGGCCUCAUCCUUACAUUUCUUUAAGGAGUAAGAAAGAGUUUGAUGGAUGAGAUUGGGAAUAAUUUUUUAAAAGAUUUAUUUUAUUUAUUUGAAAAUCAGAGUGACAGAAUGAGAGAGGGAGAAACAGAGAAGUCUUCCACCUGCUGACUCACUCCCCAAAUGGCUUCAAUGGCUGGGACUGGUCUGGGCUGAAGACAUGAGCAAGGAGCCCCAGCUGGGUCUCCCACGUGGGUGCAGGAACCCAAAGACUUGGGCCAUCCUCUACUGUGUUCCCAGGUGCACGAGCAUAAGAUGCUGGCACUGCAGGCAGUGACUUAACCCAUUACACAACAACCCUGGCCCCAGGAAUGGUUUUAAGGAUGCACAGUUCAUCUGUUUUCUAUCAUGCGUAUCUAGGAGCAUAGUUAUACACAGGAACAUGCAUUCUAUUUUUCUACACCAUGUCAUAAGUUUUAUAGUAUAGGAUUUCACCUAGAAAUAACUGCAGUCAUCCAGUACUGCCUAUGACUGGAUAGGUGAGACUAAUUAUGAUAUCCAGUAAGAAUCUCAUUUUACUAAAUAUGUAAAUCACAUUUUCUAAUAUUAGGUUUAUCAGGAUAAAAGUUGCAAUGCUGCCAUCCCAACUAUCCUUUUUUUGUUCCAAAGUGAUCUAGUUCUGCAAUAUAAUACAGUAAGUUAAGCUAUUGCUUGCCAAGCAGGCAUCCCAUAUUCAAAUGCUUGUUGGUGUCCUGGCUACUCAGCUUUCCAUUCAACUUCUUGCUAUUGUGCCUGGAAAGGCAGUAGAUGAUGGCCUGGUGCACAUGUGAGACACAUAGAUGGAUUUCUUGGCUACUGUAUACCUGGCUGUCGUGGCCAUUUAGGGGAGUAAAUCAGUAAGAUGGGAGAUCUCUCUCUGUGUGUCUGUCCUUCUCUCUGUCACCAUAUCUUUCAAAUAGAUAGAUAAAUCUUUUUUUUUAAUGAUCUGAAAGUCAAAUCAACUGAGAGAGAGAGACACACACACACAAAUCCUCCAUCUGUUGGGCUCACUCCCCAGAUGGUUGCAACAGCCAGGGCUGGGCUGGGCUGGGCUGAAGCCAGGAGCCAGAAGCUUCAUCCAGAUCUUCCACAUGUGUGGCCGGGGCCCAAAAACUUGGGCCAUCUUCUUCUGCUUUUCCAGGCCAUUGGCAGGGGGCUGGAUCAGAAGUGGAGCAGCCAAGAUAGGAAACAGCACCCCUGUGGGAUGCCGGCAUUGCAGGUGGUAUCUUUACUUGCUGUGCCACAAUGCUGGCCCCAAGGUAAAUUAAAAAGAAUGCAUUCUUUUAAAAGUUUUUUUUUUUUUAAAGAUGGAGUUGGGGAUAGAGAGAGCAUUCAAGAGAGAUGUUCCACCCACUGGGUUACUCCAUAAAUGCCUGCAAGAACAGGGCCUGAAACAGGGCAAAGCGAAGGAGCUCAGAACUCAAUUUGGUUCUCCUAUGUGCAGGGCGGGGUCCCAGUACUUGAUCCAUCACCUUCUGCCUCCUAUGGGGCACAUUAACAGGAAGUUGGAAUUGGAAGCAGAACUGAGACUCAAAAACAAUAUGGGAUAUGGGGAUCCCAAAGGGUGCCUUAACUACUGUGACAACAACCUACUCCUGUUUUCCUUUUAAUUUUAUUUUGUGUUUGUUGCAGAGAUCAGGUAGUAAAGAGGAAUGUGUUUAUUGGGUGAACCCAGCUCAAUACAAUACAUUUGAAAACUAAAUAAAAUCUAAAUUUUACUUCAUAUAUGAAAAAUUCAGCUUCUACCUAAAAAGAAGACUGAAUCACUAAGAGUUACUUAGAGUUAGCUGUUGCUAAAAAAUAAGCUAGACUCAUGUCUGAUGAUUAUCAUUCGAGGAUGUGGUCAUUGGCAGGAUACAAGUGUUAGGACUGAAGCAAGAAGUCACAUUCUCCUUACAGCCACAUAAGCAGCAAGGUUAGCACUGGCAAUGAGUGGUUGAAUACAGAAGCAAGGCGUGAAGAUGUCUCUCUAUGUGGGGAAGGAUAUAUAAGAAAAAUAUGCAGGUAAAAUAGGUUGUAGAGAUUAUAAAUCCAGUCAAGAAAAUUUAGUAACACAGUGUCAGAAAUCCAGAUGAGCAUUUUGGACAAAAUGUUGUACUGGAACUUUGAAGCACAGAACUGAUAUCUUACCUGUCAUGAAGUCUAACUGUGUAUUCACUAUUUGAAUCAUGCCCUAAAUGUUAUUACUCUACAAUAUCAUAUUCAUGUGAUAUCCAGCUAUUUGUAGAGACAGAACACUAUGUAUUAAUUUACUUUAUUCAUUAUAUCUGGACAUCUCUGUUCUGCUUUAUAUUAAAUGAAAUGUAUGUCUUUUGUUUACUCUAAACUUUAGUAUAUCUCAUGAACUUUGAUAUAACUAAGCCAUAGAGUUUUAUGGUUGAAAGAAGCAUAAACCUCUUUCUUUUUCCAUGAUACAUGGAAGUGGAAAUAUUUUCCCAAAUGCAGGUGGUCUGGUUUUAUGAUCCCAUCAUUAGACCUAGCUGCAUUGGAAGGAAUUGGUUUUGGAAUCUGCUUUCUGUUGGAACUAUGGCUCCAUAUUCACUAAAUUGAGACCCUUGAAUUUAUCAGACAUUUAUCAAUUUUGCUGGUCAACAUUAAAUAGCAAGUUAAGUCCUUCAGUCUUCUAGAGAUCACUUUUGCAGUUGCCUUGUCCUGGCAGGUGCUGUGAUUAUGCAUUCAUUUUACUGUUGGUGUACAUACCUGAGGUAUUCUGAUGGCCACAGCAGAUGACUGAUACUACUUACAGAGAAAUAUUUUCAGGUACCCUCCUCCCCAGUAAAAAUGACCAUCAACCAUGGGAUCUGGUGGGCAAUCUGGAGACUUUAUCAAGCAUUUUUUCAGAUGUUCAGCUUUAACAGUCUAAAGCUGAGAAACAUUUCUUGCAAAAACAUCUUAUAUGUUCUUUCUAUACACUUUAAAGGAGAAAUAGACGGCCUUUUUAAAGGCAAUACUUGUUAUAUGAAACAACAUUUUUAGUAGGAAAUAGAUCAGCCAUAUGACCUUCUUAUUUUCCAAAACAUGUUGAUUUUGCUCAUCCAUUCAAUUUCAUGUCUAUUUUUUAUUUGAGAAGCAGAUUUCCCCCUUACCUCUGCAGAAUGAGUUAAGUACAAAAGUUAAUACAUACUGAAACGGAGAGAAACACAUAUACCGAGAAAGAGAGAAAUAUAUACAUUUCUAAUAUAAAUAAAAUAUAUAAAAAUAUUAAAGGCCUACAAUGCUCACAAUGUCCCAUGACUGGGCCAGGCCAAAACCAGGAGCUGGGAGCUCAAUCCAGGUCUCCCACGUGGGUGGCAGGGACUCAAGUACUUAGGCCAUCAUCAGCUUCCUCCCAGGAUCUGCAUUGACAACAAAUGGAAUGGAAAGCCAGAGCCAGGAGUUGAACCCAGGUACUGGAAUAUAAGACAUGGAUAUCUUCACUGACUUCUUAACUGUUAUACUAAAUGCUCCCACCCCCAGAUCUCUUAAAAUGACCUCCUCAUCCACUCAAAUGCCUGUGGCAUACGAAUUCCAGCUGUAUUGUAGCACUCACUCUCUGACAUUCAUCCUUCCUAUCUCAUUGUUUUGAUUUUUGACAGCUUUCUUCUGCUUACUGUCCUCAUUUUUGUACAGCUGAUUCAUCUUUGGAUUGCCUCAGGUCUUACUCUUCUCCUAGCCACUUUUGGACAAGGUCCUGAUUAAAAUCUCUGUUUAUAGUAUAUCUCUGGGAUAUACUGUAUACCAUAUGAAUUGUUUUCAUUUACCUUAUAUUUGAAUAUUGGGUCUGCAUACACUUGUCUGUAGAGACAUCUAGAAGGAAUUAUUUCUCAAGGAUGUGACCUUAGUCUUGACUGAGGCAUACUAUGAGAAACAGACUAUAUUUUACUUCUGUAAAAACAUUAUUGAGGAUAUAUCCAUUAUAUCACUUAUUUCAUACACACGCUUCAGAAAAAUAUGCUUUUCAGAAUUUAGCAGAGGAAAAUACUAUCUCUUUCUAUGAAUGCUUUCUCUUUCCUAUAGUGAGAAACUGACAUUUCCAGUAAUGUGACUCAUUACAUUCCCAUUAUCUUGCUUUGGUUGGAAGGAAUCAUAGGGCAAAAUGUAGUGGUUAAAUAUAGCAUUUUCUAUUCUAGUUAGUACAAACUCAUUUCCCUUUUUAUCAAAGUUUUCUAUUUUAUUAGGUUGUUUUGUGUUUAUAUGUAUUUGCAUGCCAAUAAUUUCAAAUUUAUUUUAGAUAGUCAAGAUAUUAUAUAGACAUAAAACUUCCCCAAACAAUUUUCUUUCUUGCUUGGGAAAUAUGUUAAAGUCUUGAGGGAUCUACUUCUGGAGUUUCUAGAGUACCCUUGAGAUAUUCAAUGACUCCUUGGAUACCUGUAAUGCACAUGGCAUGCCAUUAAAUGCUAUUUUUAAAUCAUGAUCAAGCCAAGCCAAACCAAAUCAUUACCCUUUCCUCAUUUUUUGUGGCUGUAUUAUUGAAACAUUUUCUUCAAAGUAGUGUGUUUUUAAGGACAAAUAGGAAAUUUACACAGGCUAUAGGAGAAUAGCAAAUAAUAUACAUCCAGUGAGCAGGGGGUACAUUAUACGGAGGGUUGCACUUGAUCUGCAUCCAAAGUGUAGGUACAUUUGAGUACGUGAAGCAAAGAUGAGGGCAACAAUGUGCUGAUCAGUCCAUUCUGCAAAACUCUGACAUGUAGUGUUUUCUAGUUUCUUUGGUGUAAUACUUUCAUGAUUACCAAUUUCAAGCUAUCAAUAAUUUAACUACUAGUUUGCAAUGUUCUUGAAUAUUUGAAAACAGGCUGUCAUUACACUAUUUGAGCCAGGUCUUGCAUACCCAACUGGAUGGGAUGACUAUAAGGAUGUUAUAAGUUGCAUAGGAGUUCAGAUUUAAGAGGCUCUAGUAAGAAACAGAAAAUAGUUCUGAUUGGCUGCAUAGGAGGCUCAUGUUGGCAGAUGAAGACAAGAUGUAAGAGUUGUUAAUUUGGGGCAGAAUUUGGAAGUCUUUGCAGUGCAGUUGGGCUUUAUUUUUGGGACAAUAGGAAACUGUUGAGUACUUUUUAAUGGUGGGAUGGUAGGAUAAUAUUAAUUCUUUCAGAAUAUUGACCUGUUAUUAGGUAUACUUUAGAAGGUUUUAAGGAGUAGAGAAUAGAGAAGGUAGUUAGGAGCUGCUUGAAAUGCUGUAUGUGUGAGUUGAUAAGGACAAGAUUUAUGGCAGAAGUAAUUAGUAUAGGAAGGAAAAUAAGGGGGAAAAGUUGAACAGUAGAAAUACUGUAUCUCUGCUCGAGAUGGCAUCAACUGGGUUAGCUGGAAAGCUUGGACUGGAAUUAAUUGAGGUCUCACUUACAUAUUUGAGGAUUAAUGUUGGUUGUUAUUGUAACCUUUACAGGGGUUGUAGAGAGAACACCUAUGCAGAGUGUUCUGUGUGGCUGGUUGGCAUUAAUACAGCAUUAUAGUUGGGUUCCAAAAGGAAGCAUCCCUAGAGAGAGAGCCAGAUAAAAACCACAUUGCUUUCUACAGCCUAACCCUGAGAAUUUUGUGGUGUCUCUUUUGUUGCAUUUUAUUUUUUUUUUUGAGUCAAUUACAAAAUCACACUCACUUUGAAGAGGAGAGGAAAUGAGACUCCAUCCUUCAAAGAAGGAUAGCACGGUUUUGAAAGAUUAUAUUAGAGGGUGCACACAAGUGUUUCUCAAUAACUGGUUGAUGUUAUUUUUGUAUAGUGUUAAGUGUCUGCAAGCCAACUGGUUUCCUCUGAAGUAUGAUGGAUAUAUCUAGUAAAUGCUUCACAUAGCUUAAUUAACAAUGCUGAGACUGGUUGUGUAGGUCUUGUUAAGUGAGUGGUAUGGUUAAUAUUUGGUACUGCUACACUAGACUGAAGAAUGUUCUUUCUGAGAUCUUAUCUGAAUAACUAGUUUUUUUUUGAUAUUGAUUAACUGGAGAAUGUAACAUAAUAAUAAUAAUAAAAACUCUUUAAAAACUUAUCACAUACUAAACUUAGUUAUUCAUUUCUAUAUACCAUCUCACUUAAUCCUCAAAAAUAAACCAAAGUGGUAAGUAUUAGUAACCUCAUUUACAAAGGAUAAAACGAGUUCAGAGAAGUGAUUAUUUGCAUGGGUUUACACUGCUAAGUAAUGAAAUUUGAAUUCAGUUCUAAGCCUGUACUCAGCCUUCUCUCCAUGGGGUAUGUUGUUAUUACUUCUCCAUGAAGUAAGGAUAGAAAUAGAGCAUUUUUUGUUUGUUUGUUUGUUUUUUUGACAGGCAGAGUGGACAGUGAGAGAGAGAGGCAGAGAGAAAGGUCUUCCUUUGCUGUUGGUUCGCCUUCCAAUGGCUGCCGCGGCCUGUGCACUGCAGCGGCGCACCGCGCUGAUCCAAAGCCAGGAGCCAGGUACUUCUCCUGGUCUCCCAGGGGUGCAGGGCCCAAGUGCUUGGGCCAUCCUCCACUGCACUCCCUGGCCACAGCAGAGAGCUGGCCUGGAAGAGAGGUAACCGGGACAGAAUCCAGAGUUUCCCGACCGGGACUAGAACCUGGUGUACCGGCGCUGCAAGGCGGAGGAUUAGCCUAGUGAGCCGCGGCGCAGGCCGAGCAUUGUUUUUGACUGCUAAGAAAUAAAUUUCUUGGAGUAAGAGUGUUAAUGUUGCACAUGAGCUACCUGCAAUGCAGUUGUAAAUAGGGAUUCCAAAAGUGGUGGAUUUAGACAAGGGUUCUGCAAACUUUGUAUUCCUUUGGAUUAACAUAUAGGUCUCAAGUUAGAAUAUGGAAUGAGGUAGUCCAGAGAACCUUGCAAACAUGCUUGCAGAGGAAUAUUAUCAUCCUCACACAACUUAUUGUGUAUUAACAAUAUUAGACAUUAAAAAUUUCUCAUAUGAUAACUUUCCUUAGUAGGUUCUACACUUUUGGCAACAUACACUCAUAGUAUACAGUUGAUGGUGAAUACAUAUCUAUAGAACUAAACAUAAAGGAGUUUAACUUUAUCCAUCUUUGAAUACAUAUCCAUUUUGUUUUGUAAACGUAAAUUUUAUUCGAAGAGUCAGUGAUUCUGUGAGGAUCCAAAGUAUGAAAUCUCUCUCUCUAUCAUUCUUAGUCCAGUGCAUGAGACAGAAGACAAGGGCUUCCUUGAAUGACUGUUUCCCCUUGUUGUAAUACUGAUGGGGGAAUAGAGGCAGUACUCUCACAGUCCCUAGAGCCGUAAUCCUUGUUGUGAUGCUAUGUAGGUAUCCCUCUAGAGUGAAUUUGUAGAGUUUGAUAAUCAUCUGAGCAGUAAUAAAACAUAAAUUUUAUGACUUUAAAGCAACCUGUUUAUUGUAUUGUUGUGACAUUUUAUCUGUUUUUGCAUUUUGACAUUUAUAUGAUUAACAUGUCUGGUGAUGGUUGAAAUUAAACAGAAAUAUUCUCUAUUUUUUUUUUCCGGAGAUUAAUCUUUCCCUUCCAAAUUUAUAAAAGUAAACCUGUUUCUUGGUUUGAUUUUGCAUCUCAACUGUUUGCUAAGCUAUAAUCAGUGAUGACAAUUAAGAUAUCAAUGAAAAAAUAAACCAUAAUGAACCACUUCUGGUUUAGGAGAUCUUCUCUCUAGGCAACUUCCAAGUAAACAGCAGCAAAAGGUGACUGCUUCUCAGUGCUGGUGCUAUGGUUUUGUGGGCUAAGCUGCCUCCUGCAGUGCCAGCAUCCCACAUGGGCACUGAUUCCAGUCCUGGCUGCCCAACUUCCAAUGAAGCUCCCUGCUAAUGUGUCUGGGAAAGCAGUGGAAGAUGGCCCAAGUCUUGGGCCCCUGUACUCAUUUGGGAGACAUGGAGAAGCCCUUGGCUCCUGGCUUCAGCCUGGCCUAGCCCUGGCCAUUGUGGCCACUUGACGGGGUGAACCAGUAAAUGGAAGAUCUCUCUGCCUCUGCCUCUGCCUCUGCCUCUCCCUCUCUGUACUCUGCCUUUCAAAUAAAUAAAUAAAUCUUUUUAAAAAAGGUAGAUUUCUCAGCUAGUUGCAGCUUCCAAGUAAAGAAUUAUAAUAAUAUUUAAGAUUGAAGUAUAUCUGAAAAGAGGUAUCACAUCAAGUGAAGAUAUUAUUCUAAUCAAUUGAUUAUCAAGUUUUCUAAUGCUAGAUCCUGAUGUUUCAGGGUUGGAGGUUUUUUUUUUUUUUUUUUUUUGGACAGGCAGAGUGGACAGUGAGAGAGAGAGGCAGAGAGAAAGGUCUUCCUUUGCCAUUGGUUCACCCUCCAAUGGCUGCCACGGCUGGCGCGCUGCGGCCGGCGCACCAUGUUGAUCCGAUGGCAGGAGCCAGGUGCUUCUCCUGGUCUCCCAUGGGGUGCAGGGCCCAAGGACUUGGGCCAUCCUCCACUGCACUCCCUGGCCACAGCAGAGAGCUGGCCUGGAAGAGGGGCAACCGGGACAGAAUCCGGCGCCCCGACCGGGACUAGAACCUGGUGUGCUGGCGCCGCUAGGCGGAGGAUUAGCCUAGUGAGCCGCGGCGCCGGCCCAGGGUUGGAGUUUUAACACUUCAUGGUUCUUUUAACUUUUUAAAAAAAUAUUUACUUUUAUUAUUAAUUUUUGUUUGAAAAAGUGCCAGAGAGGAAGGGAGUAGAAGAAAAAGAGUAAGAGUAAGAAAGAGAAAGAGACUGACCUUCUGUCUGCUGGCUCACUCCCCAAAUGGCCAUAAUGACCAGGGUUAGGCCAGGCCAAAGUCAGGAGCCUGACACACUAUUUCGAUCUUCCACAUGGGAAUCAGGACCACAGUUACUUAGGCUAUCUAACAGGGGACUGUAUUGGAAGCCAUAUGGGAUGCUGACAUCCUAAGUAGCAGCUGAGCCCACUGUGCCACAGCACCAGCCGUCACCUCACAGUUCUUAGAGUCUGAUGACAUAAACCUUACAAACAAGAAUUUCAUUUAAAUGUGGCAUUCUUUUAGAGAAAACACAAGAACUGGCAUUUUCUUUAUUAAGCUUAUUAAUUUUUAAAAUUUUUAUUUGUUUGAACAAUACACAUACACACAAACAGAGAUUCACUCCCCAAAUGUCUGCAUUAGCUGGGGCUUGGCCAAACUGAAACCAGAAGCCUGGAACUCAAUCUGGACUCAUGUGGGUAGCAGGGACCCAAAUACUUAAGUUAUCUCCCAUUUCCAGGAAGCUGGAAUUAGAACUGGAGUGUUUGUCACACACAGGCACUCCAUAUGGAAUGUGGGCAUCUUACUGUGCCAGGUGCCCAGGACUAGGAUUUAAAUGAGCAUUUAUGUCAAAGGCUUGAUGUACUAUUUAUUUGUGGUGUCUUUUUAAUCCCCAUAAAUUUUCGUACCGGGAUUAUUAUACCUGUUUUGUGGAGUAGAGAACUGAGGCUGAGACUCAGUACCUUGUACAGGCAUAUGUAAAGCAUACAUAAAAGGGCCACAAAGGGACUGCAGGUCAGUAUAAAGCAGUAACUCUCAAACUAUUUCUUAACCUGAGAAUUUGAUGGCUCCAUGCCCAACAUGUCUUUCCUUGCUUAGUUAUUAAAGAUUGUUCUUUAUUUGUACCACUUUAGAAUAUUAUUCAUGGAUUUCUGUAACUUUAAAUCAGGAACCCAAUAUUUCUUUUAAAUUUUCAAUAGUGAAAAAUAUAUUUUACUCUUAUUUCAUUAAAUCCAUUAUGGCAUUGAUCAAAAGACAUACCAUUGGACUGUGUUAGGAAGAAAAAUGCUAUCAGUUUAACUAUGAUGUAAUGGCUUGAAGAUAGUCCUACAUGUUGUAUGAAUCAGUCACAUUACUAUUCAUUUUCUUUCACCAAUUCCAAGCAAUUUAGCAAUUUCUUCUGUUUCAGUUCCUGGACGUGGCAUUUGAUGGGCAAACUCUUUUGUAUGUACCUUAAUAACAAAUCCUAAAACAACUUUAUAUACUUCUGGGUAUUUUAUUUUCUUAAGUUUUACAAAGCACAUGGUUAUUGUUUAUAAGGAAAUAUGGGGCUUUAGUCAUUCCUGAUAUGAUAUUUGUUUCGCUAAAAUGAAAUUUAUUGCCUACUGCUCAAUUUUCGUAUAUUUAUGCAAAUGUAGUGACUUACACAUUAAUCCUGAAUCACAGUAUAAUCUUUUAGAAGACAUCUUAAAGGAAAAAAAAACUCAACACUUAUAGCAGCAAAAAUAUUCUAAACUUAGAGGGAGUGACAACAUAUUUGGGAUCAAGACAAUGACAACCAUAUCAAACUGGCUAUCUGCCCAGCAGUGAUUGCAACCUGUCAAUGAAUGUAAGACUCACCCCAGUUUCAGAAUAAUUAAAAUGAGAAAACCUGUAUUUCUUUGAAGUAAGGAAGUAAGGAGAUAUCGGACAUGGUUUUUCAUAGACUGUUUUCUGCCUCUCAGAACCUGAUCAAGUCCCAGCUCUUUCAUUCUUGAGGCACACCUUCCCAUACCUCUCAUCCUGCAGAGAAAUACUGCUGUGUAUUAUACCUCUAUCCACUAGGAUAAAUCCCUUCCUCCACUCUGUAUCUUAGCAUUUACCCCAAGGUUUUUUUUAUAAAUGGACAGAAAAUUAAAUUUUUCUUUUUCCUCUUAGGGAAAGAAAAUCUAAUCACAUUUCCAACUUAUUACAGUGUAUGUUCCCCAUUUACAUUGUACCAUGGUCAUAUAUAGUACUGUGCUAAUAGAUGGAGUGAGCAAAAAAGAUUUUAAUUCAUAUUAGUUGAUUUAAUUCAUCACUAAACUUUCUAAGGAACUUCAUAAUUUACAUAUAAGAAUUAUUUUUCACUAUCAAACAUUUUUUGGGAAGACAUUUUCCUGUAUAAUGAAUGAAUACUUUUUUGUGACAUGAAAAAUAAGCAGUAUUUGGGGUCAGAAAUGAAAAUAGUCAGGGAGUUUGGCACAUGCUCACUUGGACUUACCCCUAAUGAUAGAGCUAGAAACAUGCCAGGGGAUUUCAAUUCAACCCCAUCAAGGUGGCAUGUAUCAAUGCCAUCUUACUUGUUAAAGUUAUCAGUUUCAGUUCAUAAUUGAUCAAAAAGAUAGGGUUAAGUGUCAAAGGGAUUACAUAAAUAAGACCAGUAUCUGCAAAUAAUAAUUGAUAGAAUUAAAAAGGAGAGUAUGAUCCUACAUGGGAAGCAGGAUACACAGCAGACUCAUAGAAUGGCAAAUGCCCUAAACAGCAUUCUGGCCUCAGAAUCAUCCCUUAAGGCAUUCGGAUCUGGCUAAAAAGCCCAUGAGAGUUUCGCAGGCAUGGAAAGCCAAGACACUGUGGCUUUUAUUACAAAAAA